AAUGCAAUACUGAAGAAUACACGUUUCUACAUGUUUCUCAAGAAAACUAACCAUUCCAUAAUUACUUGCUUAUGAUGUAAAAUUUCAGGUGGACGAUUGCUUACUAUAUAAAAGCAUUUGUAGCAAAGCCAAGGCUACUAGAUUUCAACAUUAAAAAAUAUAUUUGCCUACAUAUGAGAAUAUCAGAAGCCCACCAUUGCUAAUGCCAGUGCCAUGCUUCCAUUUCGCGCCUCAACUACCUCCUGGACAUUACUGACACUGGACAACAGGAGAAUCACUUGUAAGCAAAGAUUAAUUAAGACAUACUACUCCAUCCCACAAAGACUGUUCGUUUAGAAAAUUUCAGACAUAUCACUAGUAGUGAAAAUGACCAUGUUACCCCUAGUAACUAUAGUAGUUGUGAUUGGAGACCGCGCUGUUUAUUUGGUUCCCUAGAUCCUUAAUAAAUGCAAAUGCAUUGGAAUCAGAAAAGUAACAUCUACUUAAACAUUUGAUUGGCUCUAUGCCCUUCUCAAUGCAAUUAUUUCUUGGUAUUUGAUAUUGAUUUAAUUAGAUGGACUUUAUUACAAUCUAAACGAACAUCUUUGCGGGACAGAGGGAGUAUGCAACACAAUUAUAUUCAUUUACUAUUAUUAUCAAUUCAUCUUGUGGUUGCAAAAGUUAAUGCAAGAGAAUGAAUCAAUAUUUGCAAGCAGUUUUGGGCACUGAAUACAAGAGACUGUAACAUACUUCCUCCAUCCUGCAAAAACUGUUUGUUUAGCCUUCAAAUUUUGUCCCACAAAGGCUGUUCGUUUAGAUUGUAGUAAAGUUCAUCUAAAUAAAGCAAUAUCAAAUACCAAGAAAGAAUUGCAUUGAGAAAGGCAUGAAGCCAAUCAAAUGUUUACUUUUCUAGUUCCAAUGCAUUUGCAUUUAUUGAGGAUUUGGAAAUCAAAUAAACAUCACGGUCUUCAAUCACAAGUGCUAUAGUUAAUUAGGGGUAACAUGGUCAUUUUCUACUACAAAUAGUAUGUCUGGAAUUUUCUAAACGAACAGUCUUUAUGGGACGGAGGGAGUAAUGGUAGAAUCAAUCAUCUAUAGCAAUUAGCAAAUAUGAGACACAUAGCACCGUUAUGUUAUCAAUAAUCAUUACUGUCCUGUGCUGAAUAUCCAAAAGCCAUUUGAACAGGAAGCGAGUCAUUCAUGGAAUUGGAAGGAUUUAUUUGCAUGUAUUCCAUAACGAGACAGAAGAUAGGGCGAGGGCGAGAGAGCCAGAGAGGGGAGGGGAAGGGGGGAUAAAAAUGUAGACACAUAUGUUAGCAGAUCCUGCUUUAUGUUAUGGAACUAUCGCAAAGUCACCCGCGAAAAAAGAAAUAGGAGAGGAAAACAAACACAGGCUUACUUGGAUCUAACAGUAGGUAUAACAGCACCCACAAUCAUAAGAAUCAGCACAAUAACAUACAAGGGGAUUUCAAUUUC